GAAGUUGAUGUAAUUGACGGCCCCUUUCCCCCAAAAAAAUUUCAGGCCUUGUGCCUAUUGUAGAAAACAUUAUUUUGAACAUUGUGCCAAUAUUAGAAUACAUUAUUAUUAUUAUUUUAAUUAUAUUGGUGUGAACGGCAGAAUUGAUUGAAUGUAGAAAACAAAGUGCUUUGUGGCGUUCAGUUACGUUCCUUUACAUUCUGAGUUCAAACUCAGCCGAGGUCAACUUUACUUCUCAUCCUCAAGGUAUUAACAAAAUUAAUACCAGCCUAGUAACUGGGGUCAAUAUAACCAACUGUUGUACUUGCCCCCUAAAAUACAUGGCUUUGUGUCUAAGUUACCAAGUUAUUUCCUUCUGCCAACUCCUGUCCUACAGUAUAAGUCUGUGAUCAUGUGAACUAGCUAAGCUCUGAUCCUUAGGGUUUUUUUUUUUUACGUAUUUCAAUUUUCUUGCUUUUACUUUAUGGAGUAUCCAUCAGUCAUGCUUCAUUGUAAAUUAGCUGGGAAAACUGAUAAUUUUAGAUUUAGUUUUGAAGCUAUCUUGCAUUUUUAUUCUCUCAGCUUAAUCUAGUUUAUAUAUAUAUAUAUAUAUAUUAAAUAUAUAUAGGUGUGUGUGUGUGUGUAUACAGGUGCAGACGGUAUAUGAGGACAUAUUUAUGGUUUUAGAAAAAAAAAGCUUAUAUAAUAACAGAAAAAACUGUAUUUUUUUUUAAAUAACAUAAACAAAGCUAAAUUAUCAAUUUAAUAAUUUCAUUCAAUAAACCCACCAUAAGCUUCAAUAACUAUCUCUACAUGGGGUCGAAAUUAUUUACAAGCUUUGAUUUACAUGUCCUCAAAUACCAACUGCACCCUAUAUAUACACACGUGUGUAUAUGUAUGUAUAUGCAUAUAUAUGUGUAUACAUGUGUAUAUAUAUAUACACACAUGUGUAUAUGUACAUAUAUGUGUAUGCAUGUAUAUAUAUAUAUAUAUAUAUUGAAUAUAUGUUUUUAUUUUUGAGUUAUUAGGUUAUCUCCAAAAUAUUUUAAUUUUUCCUAUAUAUCUAGAAAAGAAACAAAGAUUUAUUUGUGGAUAACCGGUUCUUUUAUUAUUACUUGCUAUUUAUUAUUUCUAUACUAUAUAGUAUAAAAGCAAAAAUUGGUAAAGGUUUUUAGACCUCAGAUUGAAGUAGCUUUUGCUAUAUAUAUAUUUUUUUUUUUAUUUCCUUUUGUAUUUUCAUUUUUCCCAUUUCUCAAAUUCAAAAAAAAAAAAAAAAUUUUUUUUUUUCCUUCUUUUAAUCCUGUAGUAUUUGCAUGAACAAAAAAAAACAAAAAAGUAUGUCAGACAUUAUUCUCCUAUGCAGCCAUUUAUCAUUUGUGUGUGUCUUGUGGACAUAUAUAUCUAUACUAGAAAUAUCUUUUGGCUCUACUUGAAAA